rnacentral:tRNA from 1 species
GCCAAGCGGGCAGUCGGCACCGACGAUCACUCGUAAUGAAUAGGUCAAGAGUUCGAUUCUCUUAGGCGGCUCCA